rnacentral:rRNA from 1 species
CUAAGAAUAUUCCGCAAUGGACGAAAGUCUGACGGAGCGACGCCGCGUGGAUGAUGAAGGCCGGAAGGUUGUAAAAUCCUUUUAAGUAUGAGGAAUAGGCAGUGUGAGAGAAACGCAUUGUGGUGACUGUAGUACUUGAAUAAGCAACGGCUAAUUACGUGCCAGCAGCCGCGGUAACACGUAAGUUGCGAGCGUUGUUCGGAAUUAUUGGGCGUAAAGGGUAUGUAGGCGGUUCUGCAAGUCUGGUGUGAAAUGCCGGGGCUCAACCCCGGAACUGCGUUGGAAACUGCAGGACUUGAAUCGCUGAGGGGCAGCCAGAAUUCCAGGUGUAGGGGUGAAAUCUGUAGAUAUCUGGAAGAAUACCAAUGGCGAAGGCAGGCUGCCAGCAGAUGAUUGACGCUGAGGUACGAAGGUGCG